rnacentral:rRNA from 1 species
UACGAAGGGGGCUAGCGUUGCUCGGAAUCACUGGGCGUAAAGGGCGCGUAGGCGGCGUUUUAAGUCGGGGGUGAAAGCCUGUGGCUCAACCACAGAAUGGCCUUCGAUACUGGGACGCUUGAGUAUGGUAGAGGUUGGUGGAACUGCGAGUGUAGAGGUGAAAUUCGUAGAUAUUCGCAAGAACACCGGUGGCGAAGGCGGCCAACUGGACCAUUACUGACGCUAAGGCGCGAAAGCGUGGGGAGCAAACAGG